rnacentral:rRNA from 1 species
GUGCCGGUGAACCCUGUAAAAAUCACCAGUGUGACGAUUAAAGCACCAGUCGUAAAAAAUUAGGCAUAGAAUAAAGCAGAAAUAUUUAAUUUAUAUUUCUGUUUUAAAAAUAUGUACUUAUGUAAUGAAUUGUAUGGAAUUGAACCAAUUUGGUGCAUAAAAAUAAAACACUCGUGAUUCCUGUGCGUUAAAAGCGCUUGCACGUGUAAGAAAUUGCCCUAUAAUGAGCACAUACCGACGAGAUAGACGGAAACGAACGAAGCAGAAUGGCGGAGUUGUUGAGUUUAUCGAAGUCCAGCUUCUGGCACUGACGAGGUGUUAGAAAGAUCAUUAAGAGAUUAUGAAGAACAACUUGUGUGGAUUUUUACUGGUUGAUCGAUCGAAACUCGCAGAAUAAGCACCGGCUAACUCUGUGCCAGCAGCCGCGGUAAUACAGAGGGUGCAAGCGUUAAUCGGAUUUACUGGGCGUAAAGCGCGCGUAGGUGGCCAAUUAAGUCAAAUGUGAAAUCCCCGAGCUUAACUUGGGAAUUGCAUUCGAUACUGGUUGGCUAGAGUAUGGGAGAGGAUGGUAGAAUUCCAGGUGUAGCGGUGAAAUGCGUAGAGAUCUGGAGGAAUACCGAUGGCGAAGGCAGCCAUCUGGCCUAAUACUGACACUGAGGUGCGAAAGCAUGGGGAGCAAACAGGAUUAGAUACCCUGGUAGUCCAUGCCGUAAACGAUGUCUACUAGCCGUUGGGGCCUUUGAGGCUUUAGUGGCGCAGCUAACGCGAUAAGUAGACCGCCUGGGGAGUACGGUCGCAAGACUAAAACUCAAAUGAAUUGACGGGGGCCCGCACAAGCGGUGGAGCAUGUGGUUUAAUUCGAUGCAACGCGAAGAACCUUACCUGGUCUUGACAUAGUAAGAACUUUCCAGAGAUGGAUUGGUGCCUUCGGGAACUUACAUACAGGUGCUGCAUGGCUGUCGUCAGCUCGUGUCGUGAGAUGUUGGGUUAAGUCCCGCAACGAGCGCAACCCUUUUCCUUAUUUGCCAGCGGGUUAAGCCGGGAACUUUAAGGAUACUGCCAGUGACAAACUGGAGGAAGGCGGGGACGACGUCAAGUCAUCAUGGCCCUUACGACCAGGGCUACACACGUGCUACAAUGGUCGGUACAAAGGGUUGCUACCACGCGAGUGGAUGCUAAUCUCAAAAAGCCGAUCGUAGUCCGGAUUGGAGUCUGCAACUCGACUCCACGAAGAACCUUACCUGGUCUUGACAUAGUAAGAACUUUCCAGAGAUGGAU